AUUGAACGCUGGCGGCAGGCCUAACACAUGCAAGUCGAGCGAGCGGCGGACGGGUGAGUAAUGUAUGGGGACUGCCCGAUAGAGGGGGAUAACUAAUGGAAACGGUGGCUAAUCACGCAUACUAGCGGAUAACCCAUAUGGGAUUGGCUAGUAGGUUGGGUAAAGGCUCACCUAGGCGACGAUCUCUCGCUGGUCUGAGAGGAUGAUCAGCCACACUGUGACUGAGACACGGCCCAGACUCCUCCGGAGGCAGCAGUGGGGAAUAUUGGACAAUGGGCGCAAGCCUGAUGCAGCCAUGCCGCGUGUAUGAAGAAGGCCUUAGGGUUGUAAAGUACUUUCAGCUGGGAGGCGUUACCCGCAGAAGAAGCACCGGCUAACUCCGUGCCAGCAGCCGCGGUAAUUC
rnacentral:rRNA from 1 species